AGACCCGAAACCCGGUGAUCUAGCCAUGGGCAGGUUGAAGGUUGGGUAACACUAACUGGAGGACCGAACCGACUAAUGUUGAAAAAUUAGCGGAUGACCUGUGGCUGGGGGUGAAAGGCCAAUCAAACCGGGAGAUAGCUGGUUCUCCCCGAAAGCUAUUUAGGUAGCGCCUCGUGAAUUCAUCUCCGGGGGUAGAGCACUGUUUCGGCUAGGGGGCCAUCCCGGCUUACCAACCCGAUGCAAACUGCGAAUACCGGAGAAUGUUAUCACGGGAGACACACGGCGGGUGCUAACGUCCGUCGUGAAGAGGGAAACAACCCAGACCGCCAGCUAAGGUCCCAAAGUCAUGGUUAAGUGGGAAACGAUGUGGGAAGGCCCAGACAGCCAGGAUGUUGGCUUAGAAGCAGCCAUCAUUUAAAGAAAGCGUAAUAGCUCACUGGUCGAGUCGGCCUGCGCGGAAGAUGUAACGGGGCUAAACCAUGCACCGAAGCUGCGGCAGCGACGCUGAUGCGUUGUUGGGUAGGGGAGCGUUCUGUAAGCCUGUGAAGGUGGCCUGUGAGGGUUGCUGGAGGUAUCAGAAGUGCGAAUGCUGACAUAAGUAACGAUAAAGCGGGUGAAAAGCCCGCUCGCCGGAAGACCAAGGGUUCCUGUCCAACGUUAAUCGGGGCAGGGUGAGUCGACCCCUAAGGCGAGGCCGAAAGGCGUAGUCGAUGGGAAACGGGUUAAUAUUCCCGUACUUGGUGUUACUGCGAAGGGGGGACGGAGAAGGCUAUGUUGGCCGGGCGACGGUUGUCCCGGUUUAAGCGUGUAGGUGUGUGUUCCAGGUAAAUCCGGUUCACUUUAACACUGAGGCGUGACGACGAGGCACUACGGUGCUGAAGCAACAAAUGCCCUGCUUCCAGGAAAAGCCUCUAAGCAUCAGGUAACAUCAAAUCGUACCCCAAACCGACACAGGUGGUCAGGUAGAGAAUACCAAGGCGCUUGAGAGAACUCGGGUGAAGGAACUAGGCAAAAUGGUGCCGUAACUUCGGGAGAAGGCACGCUGACAUGUAGGUGAAGUGAUUUACUCAUGGAGCUGAAGUCAGUCGAAGAUACCAGCUGGCUGCAACUGUUUAUUAAAAACACAGCACUGUGCAAACACGAAAGUGGACGUAUACGGUGUGACGCCUGCCCGGUGCCGGAAGGUUAAUUGAUGGGGUCAGCGCAAGCGAAGCUCCUGAUCGAAGCCCCGGUAAACGGCGGCCGUAACUAUAACGGUCCUAAGGUAGCGAAAUUCCUUGUCGGGUAAGUUCCGACCUGCACGAAUGGCGUAAUGAUGGCCAGGCUGUCUCCACCCGAGACUCAGUGAAAUUGAACUCGCUGUGAAGAUGCAGUGUACCCGCGGCAAGACGGAAAGACCCCGUGAACCUUUACUAUAGCUUGACACUGAACAUUGAGCCUUGAUGUGUAGGAUAGGUGGGAGGCUUUGAAGUGUGGACGCCAGUCUGCAUGGAGCCGACCUUGAAAUACCACCCUUUAAUGUUU
rnacentral:rRNA from 1 species